AAUGAUUCUCUAAAUGAAUGCAAAUGACUAGUGUCUACAAGGAAUAUAAAUCCUUCCAUUCCCCACUAUCCAGUUAGAGCUGAAGAAGCUUCUUGGAUGAGAAGCAA